UGCGCUGGAGCGCAACAUACGCACUGUGCACUGACGAUGUCUUCACCAUCUUCCAGCUUGCCUGCCGCCGCGUCCUUGCCAGCAACGCACGCCACUUCACCAGGUGCCUUGUCCUCUGCGGUAGUAUCAUCUCCAGCGCCCAUGUGCACGCAUUUUCCGCUGCCGCCGCCGCCGCAGGAGGGGCAACAGGCGAAUAACCGAAGUCUCAGCAAUGACACGCACGCUGGUCAGAUGGUGCGGGAGCAGCAGCAGAUGAUUGAGCAGCUCAUGAGCACCGGGCUCGUGCAGGCGGCGGACCUCCUCGACUUCGGCUUCAGCACCGCGGAGCUCCGCGCCGCCGGGCUGCACCUUCCACCGCCGCACCACCGCGCUGGCGAGCAGGCCAAGGGUGUCCUGGAAGCUGCACAAGCCGAGUGGAUGGCAGAUGACCACGGUGAGGCUUGUCGCCGCCGCGGGGUGCCUCGGAAGCGCGCUUGGUGCGACGACGCAGCACAGGCACGACCGCAGAAGAACGAGCGCGCGACACCAUCGCCUGCUAUUAGUGGCGCUGCCGAAACCGCGCUGUCUGCUGCGGAAACGACCAGAGAGCCGCAGACGCUCGCAAAGUCUGUGGCGACGCCUGCCUUGCUGUCGGAGGAGACGCGUGCACGGAGCCUGCACGCCGCGAAGCUCGUGGAGCAGACGCAGAGCCUGCGGCGGCACCGCGGUGCUCAGGAGUGUGCUCGGUGGCUGUGCUACGACGAUACAGAAGACGAGGAGGUGUCCAGCACCGCAUCAACAGGGACGUCCUCGGGGGAGGCAACCUCAGCGCUCGCCUCGAUGGCGCGGGCGGCGGAAACGCUGCCGAAGGCGCGCUGCAACACGGCCCUCGCCUUCAGCGGACUGGACGUAGCGGUCGUGAAGGAGAUUGCGCAGCGACUGCAGGAAGAGAGCGGCCGCGACGCCUCCGUUGAGAGCCGCCGCACACGCGAGUACCUCGAGUCCCGUGAGAAUGGCAAUACCCCCUACAUGUAAAGCCGAGCUAAAUGCAGAGUGUAUGCACCGCGUUCGAGGGAUGCACACACUAACAUACGCACGCCGAGGUGCAUGGGUGGCGGCAUGUGCGUGCGCGCGAGUUUCUAACGAUGCACUGGACCAUCGUUUCCUUCCUUCUUUUGGUUUUUGCUUUGAACCGCGCAUUCUCACCCUGCCCCUCCUCUUCCUCGGCCUCGCACCGUCGUGCUGCUGCGUUAAUUCCCAGCCGGAACAUAGAUUCGCUUGCUCGUCUCCCGCCUCAUCCCUCCUCAGCACACGCACACGGCCUUGCUACGUGGCGCUGACGACGAGGGGUGGAGAAAGUAGGCGCCAAGACGCGCACGCAAGUAUAGAGAGGCGUAGGCGUGGGGCGCACGUGCGGGUGAGCCGUCGCAGACGCGCACACACCCGGUGAUAUACUGCACAGAUGAUAACUGGGACGCUAGCACGCACGACCGACUUCGAUAGAGCCCCUCGCCCCCUCGCAUCCCUAACACGAGGUACCGACUUGUUCGCCUGCUCCACCACCGUUCUUUGGAGGGGGUGGGGUGGGAAGGGCAGCAUGGCCAUAGAAGACCGUACCCGUGCGCUCAUACACAUGGCCCACGCAGACACUCGUACACCUAGCCACUGCACAUGCCCACGGGCGCAUUCUGCUUCCUUUCUCAUCACGACCUUCGUCGUCUUUCCUUUGUGCGUGUGCGCAUGUCUCGUAUGGUCGCUUGCGGAUCGGCGCGGCAUGGCAGUCUCUCUGUCUCUUUCUUUUCGUAUGGGCGUAGGUGUAUGUGUACGCUGCGCGGUGCUCACGAGCGCGCGAACCCCAACGAGUAACCGCUUCGGCGUCGCACAUCGCAGUGCAUUCCGCGUGACGCAGCAUCCGCCUCCCUCUCCUUCCGUUGGCACGCUC
rnacentral:misc_RNA from 1 species